GGUCGAUUAGCUUAGUCGGUAGAGCGUGGUACUAAUAUCGUCAGCUGCCUGCAAAGGAUGUCAAUGCCAAGGUCAUGGGUUCGAUCCCCAUAUUGACCA
rfam:Puccinia graminis f. sp. tritici CRL 75-36-700-3 supercont2.5 genomic scaffold, whole genome shotgun sequence.